UAAGAAUUUGUUUUAACCCACAUAGAGGCCAUUUGAUCAGUUGAGAUUUUCAUUCAAUGUAGCACAUUCUACGAAAGUAACUAGAUCGAAUACCAAGUACUAUCUACCGCCUAGUGUGACUACUUAUACGUUAUCUCUGAUGGGUAAUUGCCGUGCGGACGGAAUAUGUCUAAUCGAACUCGAUGAUUAUCACUUACCUAGUUGAGUUGAAGAGAAGCUAGUCUCAAGACCACACAGGUCUACGGCAUGAAAUUACAAAUAUACUUCAACAUAAGAAGUCAGUUACAGACUUCGAAUGGCUCUGCUAGCUCACAAUAAGGCUCACGUGGGUCUAAGUUAAAUGAAGUACCGACUUGAUUCAACCCCAUUCAGUUCCCUCACCAGGCCAACGUGGCCGGCGUUCAAAUCUGCCGGGCGCAAAGGCGACAACCAAAGGAGAGAAGCGACUACUACCAAGAUUUGUACGACAGCCGAGUGCGACGAGUAUAUCUCGGAGCUGUCUGUUUCGUUGGUUGUAUUUCGGCUAGUCAAGGAGUACGCCUUCGAAAUGUACACUUUCAUCGAGUGGCUCGUGGACCCUUAGCUUGGCUUGGCCUGCUUCUCUUGGUCUGGUCCUGGCCACUUCUAGCCGAAUCUCCAGCCUGCUGUCCAGCUUGCAACUUUCCGCUCACAACCGGCCACGCUUGUAAACUCGGUAGACGAGUGUUCCUUAUCUAGAAAGCGUUUUAAUUACAAAGAACAAAGAGGCCACGGGAAGCCCUAGACGCCUCGACCACUCUCCGUCUAGGAGCAUCGUACCAGCAAACAGAGUAACCCCUGCUUAAAUCCGUUAUGCCAACGCUUUCGACAGCCAGCAGAGAGACGGCCAACUAGCGACUGCCUUGGAGAAACCGUUCCAUUCUGCAACCACAAGGUCUGUUCACAAAAGGCCGGUAAUUCCCAUCCGCUCUCACGGAAUUCUUUUCUACAUAACUUGCCUGACUCUUAACUAUUAUAGGGAGAAGGGAGUCGUAACUGUAUUGAGAGAGCUGCGUACAUAGUUACCACUGUGGAAGGAAAAGGACACGAAAGCAGGAGAAAAAACAGGAGAAAUAUCGAGAGGCUCAAUUGGCGGAGGCGUAGGCCUGGUUGCUUGGUUUGUUCGACGCUUAAGGGAGUUUACCACCUGAGACCUUCUGAACACCUUCGUCCAUGGCCCAAUCUGUCGGGACUGUCGAGACUUGCCCCAAGGCUGGAAGUGCCAAGUGAGAAACGCUGGGAGUUAAGAAGCUCUGACUGUUUCACGCUCGAUGCUAUAGAGAAAAGGACAACGAGAGAGAGAGAGAGAGAGAGAAGGCGGAUAAUAUGGCCCAAAGCAACGAGUGGCCAUGUACUGCUCUACAGACUGAAACCACUGUGCAUCGGUAGCUGUCAUUGCUAGAAAGCUUUUCCCGCUGCUGGUAGCGUGGCGAUGUGUACCGAGAGUCGUACACCUGAAAGAGUAACGAAACGAAUUGACCCAGGCAAUCGACAUAAGACGGCUGUGGAUGGACAAAGACGAUCGUCGAAGUUCGGUGGGCCAAGCCACCAGUAGCAGAAGCACUCGCAGGAACGCAAACGUAAACGAACGCAGGCAAAUCGGUGGCGACCAAAGCGGCAGGCCGUACCCGGUAUAGGCGGGUCCUAAAUUCCUUUAGGGAAUUCUAAAGGUGAGAGAUACAAAAGAAGAAGCAGAAGAAAAGAGCAAGCCACUUGCAUGUAGGGGCCUUUUGCCAAAGAUGUCAGCGAGACAAGAAGGCCGACCUACAGUCUUGCUACAUGGUCCUGCUGUGUGAAUAGCGGACUGGUCGCUGUUCAUACAGUAGUGUUGGACUUCGUUCGUGGCAAGGUGUGUAUCCGGCCAACCCGGGAGACCAUGUUUAGCUUUCAGGGGUAUUAGCCCUGUUUGCGUCGGCAGUAUACCAGCGUUAGUUAGUUGACCAACCCCAUUAACUCUCCUGCGCUGCGAUUGUCCCAUUGUUGCGCCGAGAACAGUAGCGAAACAGCCUUCCAGGUCUUAGCUAGAAAGCAAUGGUUCUGGCGAUGGCUGGGGUGGCAGUGGUCAAUUUGCGGCUGCCUUGACCUAAAGAGGAGAAUAGAGAAAAGACAACUUGCAACUAUGCGACGGUCAGUCUUGCAGCCGCCCGCCAAAAGGAAGGACCAUAAAGACCUAGAGUGCUACUAUUUAUCCUACCAGAGGGGGCUGGGCUGAACGGCGCCUUUUAUAGAGGACUAUUCAAGGGAAUGCAUCGAACAAAAGGUGGGAUGUGCAGAACGCGCUGCCAAACACUGAAUAGAUGGAAUCAAGCCAUAGGGAUGCAAUUGCCGAAUAGUGGAACAACGAUUGCGAACAAAGGACCGUUAGCCAGAGAGCACUUGAGCACACUGCAGCAAACGAAAACGUCGACAAUAACAACAACAUCAGCGACAAGAGGACACAACGACAGUCUUCAAUGGAAAGGAGUAGAUUCAGGGAAAACGUCAGCUUCGAGUUGGAUCGCAAGUUCGUAAAGUUUCUUUUAUCCAAAGAUCGACUGAGAGCGACAAAGGGAACUAAACAAGAAUGAACUCAACUUGCCUCUGUUGGCUUCGUUUUCUCCGUAUGUAGAAGAGUCGCUUUUUCCAAAAAUGUACGUAUAUCUAUGUGUGAUUCGAGCUGACCCUCACCUAUUUUUCCGUAGGAAAGUGUUAAAAAUCAAUUUUCGGUAUUGCGUCAGAUCUGGUAGAAGAACCCUUGGUGAACUUUUCUCCAACUGCGAUCCUCCAGCGAUUUCUCCAACUGCACUGUCAGACUGCACGAUCAACUAUCCUGAUCAAGGAUUCCACCACUGCACUGCUACUGACUGAGUUCGCGAGUCUAUCAAACAAGUAAUCGCUAAAUCUGGUCCCAUCGGAACCUAUACCGCUACCAGAUGACGCUGACCAGCCCACAUACAUACGUAAGCCGAGCAAAAUGCUAAUCGAAGUGAAUAGCUAAACGAAGCACGGGAGAGAUCGGCUGGGGCUGAACGAAUCCUCCACUAAAAAAAGUAGCAAGAGCUUCGUCGCAAAGCAGAAAGUGGCGACCGAAUCGGCCGCUUUGUGACAGAGGUGGAAGCGAAGAACCAUCAGCAGAUGUCUAAACACCAGCGAUGCGAAGCAAAAUAUUUUGCCGGACAAACACGGCAGGAACGACCGAAAACCGCCUGACAACAACCUGCUCUGCUUAGCAAUCCGUCACAGGCCAUCCGCAGUGAUGUCCAAAUUCAAGGGACCACUCUCAUUUUGGGGCUCAUGUUGAGUCUCUGAUCUUAUCGUAUUUAACUUAGCCAAGAGGAGUUGGUACAACCGACUACCCUUAAGCUACCCUCCAUGUAUCAUGCUAUUAAAUACAAUAAAGAUCCUCUACGUCUCAAGUUUUACGUCCGCAAAUACGUUACCCGCUAAGCUAUCAUAAUGAAAAAUCUUGUUGGCUAAAAACCAGAUCCCCUCUUUGGACCUCGUUUCAUCUGAACCCCUGUAACUGGUAACUGUUUUUAGAAAACCGUACAACGACCUGCUUGACCAUUAUACAUGUUGACCAACUUCUCUUUCCCGCACCCUAG